rnacentral:rRNA from 1 species
CCUACGGGCGGCUGCAGUGGGGAAUCUUGCACAAUGGGGGAAACCCUGAUGCAGCAACGCCGCGUGAAGGAAGACGGUCUUCGGAUCGUAAACUUCUGUUCUUAGAGAAGAAUAAUGAUGGUAGUAACUGUUCACGUCUCGGCUAACUACGAGCCAGCAGCCGCGGUAAUACGUAGGUGGCAAGCGUUGUUCGGAAUUACUGGGCGUAAAGGGAGCGCAGGCGGGAAGCCAAGUCAGCUGUGAAAGCUACGGGCUUAACUUGUAGACUGCAGUUGAAACUGGUUGUCUUGAGUGAAGUAGAGGAGAGCGGAAUUCCGAGUGUAGCGGUGAAAUGCGUAGAUAUUCGGAAGAACACCAGUGGCGAAGGCGGCCAUCUGGGCUGUAACUGACGCUGAGGCUCGAAAGUGUGGGGAGCAAACAGGAUUAGAUACCCGAGUAGUC